rnacentral:rRNA from 1 species
UACGUAGGGUGCGAGCGUUAAUCGGAAUUACUGGGCGUAAAGCGUGCGCAGGCGGUUUUGUAAGCCAGAUGUGAAAUCCCCGGGCUUAACCUGGGAAUGGCAUUUGGGACUGCAAGGCUGGAGUGCGGCAGAGGAGACUGGAAUUCCUGGUGUAGCAGUGAAAUGCGUAGAUAUCUGGAGGAACACCGGUGGCGAAGGCGGCAUUCUGGACCAUAACUGACACUGAGAGACGAAAGCCAGGGGAGCAAACGGG